GGAUGAAGAACGCAGCGAAUCGCGAUAUGUAGUGUGAUCUGCCUCUAGUGAAUCAUCAAAUCUUUGAACGCAUCUUGCACCCUUUGGUAUUCCAAAGGGUACGCCUGUUUCAGUAUCAUUAUAACCUUUCUCCUCCAAGGCUUUUUGGCCAAGGAGGGGAAAGAGCAUAACCGGUGGCCCAGCGGUCCUCCCAUCAGGGGGAUUGUCUCGGCUGGAAUGACUGUUGCAAUGGUGGGCCAAAUGGUCUCCCGCACUUGAUAAAUGUAACUUUUAUAAAGAGCGGGGCCGGUCUGCCGAAAGUUGUAACUAAACCCUUUACCUUUGAUCUGAAAUCAGGCGGGAUUACCCGCUGAACUUAAGCAUAUCAAUAAGCGGAGGA
rnacentral:misc_RNA from 1 species